rnacentral:rRNA from 1 species
ACAUGCAAGUCGAGCGGGAGCAAUCCCAGCGGCGAACGGGUGAGUAACACGUGGGUAAUGUGCCUUCUGGUGGGGGAAUAACCUUGGGAAACCAGGGCUAAUACCGCAUAUCGUGCUUCGGCAUGAAAGCCUUCGGGCGCCAGUAGAGCAGCCUGCGUCCCAUUAUUUAGUCCUAGUUGGUAGGGUAAUGGCCUACCAAGGGUACGAUGGGUAGCUGGUCUGAGAGGAUGAUCAGCCACACUGGAACUGAGACACGGUCCAGACUCC